GAAACCCAACCUAGUAAGAUUUAGCCAAUCGCUAGUAUCUAGUCUUGGAGCCGAAAUCGUGAGAUAAGGUUUAAGCGUAGACAAGAAAACUAAUCGAGCCGUAAUGCGAAAGCGUGAAGUGAUUGAGCCUCGUUAGAUUAUUAAGUGAAAGCUGAUGUAGUCACUCCGACAGCAAGCAAUACCGUUUAUUCGCUAAAGGCGAGAAUAAAUGAGUUUCACCGGGGUCCUAGAGCA
rfam:Clostridiales bacterium GWD2_32_59 gwd2_scaffold_2649, whole genome shotgun sequence.